rnacentral:rRNA from 1 species
CUAGCGACUUCAGAGUUUGAUCCUGGCUCAGGAUGAACGCUGGCGGCGUGCCUAACACAUGCAAGUCGAACGGACUUCACAUUGAAUGAGACUUCGGUUGAAGGAUAUUUGAAGUUAGUGGCGGACGGGUGAGUAACGCGUGGAGAACCUGCCCUGUACAGGGGGAUAACAAUCAGAAAUGAUUGCUAAAACCGCAUAAGCGCACAGUACCGCAUGGUACAGUGUGAAAAACUCCGGUGGUACAGGAUGGCUCCGCGUUGGAUUAGCCGGUUGGCGGGGUAACGGCCCACCAAAGCAACGAUCCAUAGCCGGCCUGAGAGGGUGAACGGCCACAUUGGGACUGAGACACGGCCCAG